rnacentral:rRNA from 1 species
AUACGGAGGGUGCAAGCGUUAUUCGGAAUCACUGGGCGUGAAGGGUGCGUAGGCGGUUUGAUAAGUCUGAUGUGAAAUCCUAUGGCUCAACCAUAGAACUGCAUUGGAAACUGUCAGACUAGAAUACUGAAGGGGCAGAUGGAAUUAGUGGUGUAGGGGUAAAAUCCGUAGAUAUCACUAGGAAUACCGAAAGCGAAAGCGAUCUGCUGGGAAGUUAUUGACGCUGAGGCACGAAAGCGUGGGGAGCAAACGGGAUUAGAUACCCGGGUAGUCC